GAACCACGUUAAUUCAAAUUGGCCCGUACCCUAAACCGACACAGGUGGGAAGGUAGAGUAUACCCAGGGGCGCGAGAUAACUCUCUCUAAGGAACUCGGCAAAAUGGCCCCGUAACUUCGGGAGAAGGGGUGCCACCGAGAGGUGGUCGCAGUGAAGAGUCCCAGGCGACUGUUUACCAAAAGCACAGGUCUCCGCUAAGUCGCAAGACGAUGUAUGGGGGCUGACGCCUGCCCAGUGCCGGAAGGUUAAGGAAGUUGGUCAGGUUCUUCGGAAUUAAAGCUAGCGACUGAAGCCCCGGUGAACGGCGGCCGUAACUAUAACGGUCCUAAGGUAGCGAAAUUCCUUGUCGGGUAAGUUCCGACCCGCACGAAAGGCGUAACGAUCUGGGAGCUGUCUCGGAGAGAGGCUCGGCGAAAUAGGAAUGUCUGUGAAGAUACGGACUACCUGCACCCGGACAGAAGGACCCUAUGAAGCUUUACUGUAGCUUGGUAUUGGGUUCGGGCUUUGAUUGCGCAGGAUAGGUGGGAGACUAUGAGAUAGCUCUUGUGGGAGUUAUGGAGUCACUGGUGAGAUACCACUCUAUCAAGGCUAGAAUUCUAACUUUGACCCGUUAUCCGGGCAGAGAACAGUAUCAGGUGGGCAGUUUGACUGGGGCGGUCGCCUCCUAAAUGGUAACGGAGGCGCGCAAAGGUUCCCUCAGGCUGGUUGGAAAUCAGCCAUAGAGUGUAAAGGCAUAAGGGAGCUUGACUGCGAGACUGACAAGUCGAGCAGGUACGAAAGUAGGCCUUAGUGAUCCGACGGUUCCGCGUGGAAGGGCCGUCGCUCAACGGAUAAAAGUUACUCUAGGAUAACAGGCUGAUCUCCCCCAAGAGUUCACAUCGACGGGGAGGUUUGGCACCUCGAUGUCGGCUCAUCGCAACCUGGGGCUGUAGUCGGUCCCAAGGGUUGGGCUGUUCGCCCAUUAAAGCGGUACGUGAGCUGGGUUCAGAACGUCGUGAGACAGUUCGGUCCAUAUCCGGUGCAGGCGUAGGAACAUUGAGAGGAGUCUUCCUUAGUACGAGAGGACCGGGAAGAACGCACCGCUGGUGUACCUGUUAUCGUGCCAACGGUAAACGCAGGGUAGCCAAGUGCGGAGAGGAUAACCGCUGAAAGCAUCUAAGUGGGAAGCCCACCUCAAGAUGAGUGUUCCCAUGGCAAAAGCCAGUAAGGUCACGGGUAGACCACCCGUUAAUAGGCGCUAGAUGGAAGUCCAGCAAUGGAUGUAGUCGAGGCGUACUAACAGACCGAGGGCUUGAC
rnacentral:rRNA from 1 species